CAAAAUGGCCUUGCUUUGAAUCCCAGGUGCUGUGCCUUUAAACAGCACAGUGUUGUUAUAAACCAGUAACCUUAACCCUUAGCCUCAAAGCACACCCUUUUCCUGAUAACACAGACAGACAUUCACACUCAAAAUACAGUACAACGAUAUUCGGUGUUCACACAUUUGUACACACACACGUACAGCGCACACGUUCAUUUCCAGUGAAGUCCCAGAUUCACUGAAUUGGCAGCGGGCUUAAAAGGUAAGCUAUAGGUACAUUUUAUUUAAAGUUUUUUGUUAUUGCUUUGUGUUACUAUAGAUCAGUAUAGAACACAAAUCUACUCCAGCCUGGAACAUGAAUUGAUUCAUGGGUUAAUACAUUUUUUUUUUUUUACUUGGUUAAGAACUGUGGUUAGUUAGCUAGUUGGGAUUUUUCUAAUGGAAGUGUUCUUUGACUCCUUCUGCUUGACUCCUGCACUUUUGGUUGUUACCUACAUGUGGGCUUAUUGAAAUUACGUUCAGUCAAUUCCCUGGGUUUCUUGGUCAAGGUAGAGAAAGACAUGAACAACCCUAACACAAACUUAACACAGUUCUAUACUACAGAACACUGAAUUAAUUACUAGGAUUAAAAUUUUAGUUUUGGCCAUGUGUGGCAAGGAUAUUAUCUUGAGUGUCUUCAGUGUUCAUUUCCUAUAUUUGUUGUUGGGCGUUUGGUUCACUUGUAUCAGCUGGACUAUAAAUGGAUGAAUCAGAGGUGUCAUGUGUUUCUAUUAAGUUAUGGUAAACCCAUGUGAGCACUUAAAGCUGAACACCACUGGGCACUUAAAGCUGUCUUUUUAUCUAGGCUACUUUUACAUAACAUACCAAUCGAAACACAACACGGUAUUCAACAUUUCUUCUUACUUUUUUUGCUAUAAGACUGUCUUAGAAUGACUCUAAGUUUUAUAUUUACACGAAUCUUGUGUAAUGUCUGACCGGUUGUUGUGUUGUGGUUAAAUAAAGAAUCUGUUGGUUUUCAUCUAGAAGGCACAUGACAUCAACUUCUUCAGCCCAUAAACAAACACUGCCUUUUUGUUACUUGAUAUUAACCAAAAGCACUGAAUUUGAUCAAGUUCAGAUGUAACAGCAAUCUGCCUCACAAAAAGUUUGGUUGGUGCCGAUGGUUGGAUGUGCGUCCACUGUCAAUAAUAGUGAACAAUACAGAACACUUUAAAAUGUAUCAGGUGUCUGUGAUGGGGUUAAAAUUGAGAUAAGUUCCCAUCUCACACAAUUAGUUGUCCAAAUAGGUAAACAUGCUUCAAAUUUUUGUUGUCUCAUUGUUUAUUGUCUCAAGCUUAUGACUCAUCAAAUGUAUGACUCCUCAAAUUUAUUUUCUUGCUAUGUUGGCCUUUCUAAAUUUCCUCAAUUGAUACCUAUUAUCACCUUGUUAGUAAGCAAAUUUAGGCUCUGGAUAUCUAAGAUGACUGGCAGACAGUGGUAGGGUCGUGACAGUGGUAGGGCCGUGACAGUGGUAGGGCCGUGACAGUGGUAGGGUCGUGACAGUGGUAGGGUCGUGACAGUGGUAGGGCCGUGACAGUGGUAGGGCCGUGACAGUGGUAGGGUUGUGACAAUGGUAGGCCCGUGACAGUGGUAGGGUCCUGACAGUGGUAGGGUCGUGACAGUGGUAGGGUCGUGACAGUGGUAGGGCCGUGACAGUGGUAGGGUCGUGACAGUGGUAGGGCCGUGACAGAGGUAGGGUCGUGACAGUGGUAGGGUCGUGACAGUGGUAGGGCCGUGACAGUGGUAGGGUCGUGACAGUGGUAGGGCCGUGACAGUGGUAGGGUCGUGACAGUGGUAGGGUCGUGACAGAGGUAGGGUCGUGACAGUGGUAAGGUCGUGACAGUGGUAGGGUCGUGACAGUGGUAGGGCCGUGACAGUGGUAGGGUCGUGACAGUGGUAGAGCCGUGACAGUGGUAGGGCCGUGACAGUGGUAGGGUCGUGACAGUGGUAGGGCCGUGACAGUGGUAGGGUCGUGACAGUGGUAGAGCCGUGACAGAGGUAGGGUCGUGACAGUGGUAGGGUCGUGACAGUGGUAGGGUCGUGACAGUGGUAGGGCCGUGACAGUGGUAGGGUCGUGACAGUGGUAGGGUCGUGACAGUGGGACCAACAAACCCUAAUGGGCAUUGUGAACAAAUUGGUUGAAUCACCAAGUAUCCAGUUAUCUACAGUGAUCAAGGUAUCACAUUAUACACAUUUUGUUGUUAGUGAAUUUUUAAAUGAUUAAAAAAAUAUUUCUUGCCUUGAAUCUGCACACAAUGUAGAUCCCAUAAUGACAAAACACAUUUUGGACAAUGUAUUCAAAAAUCUUUAUCCCAGAAGCAUUCGGUGUCUGAUGAUCCUUGAAAAAAAAAACUAUGGAAAAUAAAGUUGAUUUGAUGUGAUUUGCAAAGACACAUACAGUACCUGCCUGUGUAAGUUCCAACGCUUCACAAUACAUCCGUGAAGUCCAAAGAAGUCUCAGUACACGUCUGAGAUAGAAUCGUGUUGAGGCAUAGAUUUUGGGGACAUUAUAAAAAAUAGUUAAAGCAUUGGAAAUUCCCAGAAGCACAGUGGACUCCAUCUUUUAUUUAUUUUCAAUAAAUUGGUAGGCAUUGCAAAAAAAAAAUUUUGCGGUUUGUCGUUAUGGGUUAUUGUGUGUAGAUUGAUGGCAAAAAAUACUUACAUACAUUUUAAAGUAAGUCUGUGACACAGCAAAACAUGGAGAAAGUGAAGCGGUUGGAAUACUUUCCAAAUGCACUUUGUUGGUCAGUAUACAGCAACCAGGUUUUCAACACAUCACAAAGCCAUUAUCAGCUCCAUCUGAACUAGGUCAAUGCUUCACAGUGACCUGAAUGUUCCUCCUUAAUGACUGGCUGGAAGCGGGAAGAGGUAAUGUAAUCACAGAAGGGCAUUUUGUAAUUACCCAGUGUUCUGAGUGGUUUCACAACAAAUGUUCAGUUCACUGUCCAUUGAAAUUAGAGGGCCAUACGUGAGAUUACAGACGUGUUCAAUACAAAGUUUUAUGAGGAAGUGAAAGGGAUGAUAACCCAAGGUCUUAUCUUUCAAUUACAGGUUUCUUCUGUGGUGCUGCUGUUGCGUAACUUCUCAAGAUGUCCUUUGAAGUCUCGUUCCCCAUUUUAGAGUAAGUGUCCUAGGACAGUGUCUUGCAUUAACUACUUACAAUACAAAAUGGAUAGUUGCUCAAACAGGGCGCUUAGCCGUGCUGUAUUGCCUAUAUAUCACAAUUAGCAGUACCUUACGAGAUGGCUUAUUGCUCUUACAAACUGUUUACCAACAGAAUGAGAGCUAAAAAAACUGAUGUUAUAUCAUACCCAUGGAAUACGGUCACAUAUACCAUGGCUAUCAUCCAAUCAGCAUUCAGUAUCCAAUCACCUGGUUAAUAAGAGACAGUAUGACGUUACAUCACUUUUAACUUGUCUAUUCACAUCGGUAAUUGACUUGUAAUUGCAGAAAGGCAUCUUGAGGGUUUGUGGAAUUUUGCCAAUGUACCACAACUAAGUGCUGUAUCCAUUUGUGUCUAAGAAAAGCCCUUAGCUGUGGAAUAUUUGCCACCACAUAACACAUGCCUUAUUGCUUAAUUAGAUACCCAUCAUUCAAGCCCAUCAGGUUUGCCUCAGGGAAGGCAGACCAAAAUAAAUACUAAGACUAAUUAAGGGAAAUCUAGUGAAUAAUCAAAGAGGAGUAAACCAGGCAGGGAAAUCCAACCAUGCCAGGGCAGUGUCAAUAAGUAGCAGAAACCACAGAAUUGGUUGCUAAGUAUCAUUACGUCUGAAGCGCUGUGCAUGCAGCUUUUCGAUUUUAGCAGAACCAGACCGGGUGAAAGACUCCUGGACUAACAACAUGGUGACCAGCGCAGGUGAAACAGGAGAUGACCUCAAACCUCAUUAGGUCACCUGAAAACCCAAAACACAGUCUCAAAGUUUUGCAGAACGGUUGCCCGUAGCGCAGACACGCGCAUACACACAACAACAAUGUCAACAAUAGGCAUCUGCAUGUAUCUCGCCAAGCAGGGCGAAUUCACUGACCAAUCAAAAUGUACUUCCUCAGAAUCUUCAUGCCGAUCAUCACGUUUGGAAUUAUCAUCCUCUGCUGCACGGCCUUCUGCAAGGCCUUUCACCGCGUCCGCGAGGAGCGAAUGGAGCGGGAGGAGAGACUCGACAGGCCCUCGGUUUUCGUUAUCCCCUUCCCAGCGGUGUCCUGUGACAACGAAGACCUCCACAGGCCUCCGCGUUACAGCACCACAGAGUCCUACAGCCCGCCUCCUGCCUACAACGAGGUGGAGAUGAAGCCAGACUUCAUCGAAGCAGAUCUUCCUCCAGCCUACUCAGAGAUCUCACACGCCCCAGAUGUCUAAUUGCGUUCUCCAUCCACUGCGCCUUGGUUUGGUUCCUCCUCAGCCCCACUGUCACCCGGGGGACCAUACUAGCUGGGAAAACUGAAGGCCAAACACACUCGAAGAGAACCUAGGCUAUGCGUGGAUCCAUGACCCUGAAGCUGUACUAACUGUUCUGCAGAGACUUAGCACUGGGGUUUGUGAAAGGUGUGUUUGGGAGGCGCCCUGUGGGAAAAGGAUGAAUCGGCUUAUGUGGCAAGCGUGGGAUUAUGGACGUCUAUGAAUGUGUGUCCUGUGAAGCAAGAUUUGUCCCUCCACCUGCUCUGUGUACAUGUGUAAAUAUUCAAAAAUCUUGAAUAAAUUGUAUUUUUGUAAGCCUUACUCAAAACUGUUAAUAUGAUGAAGUAUUAUUGUUGUGGGCCUUGAUCUGUGAUAAUAUGGUAGUUUAUUUAAAUGUUUUUUGACAUCUGGAAUGAAGUCUGUUUUCCAUUUUGAAGAUCCAAUCUGUUCUCUUCUGUGUCAGUCAUGUCUGAUGCUUCCACACAUCUUCUAUGCUCUUUAACCCCAUCGGUUUCAUAACAGCUCUACCCAGUAAGAUGAUUUAUGAAAGCCUAUUAGUAAGAUAUUGAACAGACAACUGAUUAUCUUCGCCAUGUGACUGACCGACAUAGUGUCAUUGACACGCCUCUUAAACAUUUUCUUUCAGGCUUUAUUACCGCUGCCCAAUCAUAGAUUCAUACUUCAAUAAUAUUAGGACUUUGGCUAAUGGUAGGUCAUUAAGCAAUGAUAAAACCCUUUCACUGACUGUCACUGAAAACCUUGAUGAAAUCAUAUUAGUUCAUAGCUGCCUUUAAAAUGCAUGUUUUAAUCAUCAACGCCUGCCUAAAAAUGUGUGCAGACAUGAUAAAGCCAUGUAUGAACAGUGUUUAUGACUAGACUACAGGUUGAGCAGUUGAGAUACCUCCUUGCUACCAAUCCAACACAGCUUUGGUUCAUAAAAUGUAUGUAUGAACAAUACUACCAUUUACCAAAUGUUUAAAACCAGAGUCUGUUGUGUUCCAUGGACAGUGUUAUGCUGAUGAGCUAAAGCCUUGGCCUUAACAUGGGGAACCAAAACCUCAGUCUACUGGAGGGGUUUAGUGACUGUGAUUCACCAAAAUAACUGGAAUAUGUAAACAGUUUUAUGUAGCAUCAUAGCCGAUUGUGAAUGUUUUAGGUGGUUUUAAUAGCAUGGGAGAUCAAAGUCCUGUUCCAGUCACACUGUUUGUAUUGAGCCAUGAAGUGCAGCCACGUUAUUUUUUUGCUGUCUUUAUUUGAAUCAAAGGUUGCUCAGUCAAAUCCCUGAGCCAGCAAAGGAAAAAAUCUGUGGUUCUGUGUUUGAGAAAAACAUUUAACCCUUUUUUGCUCCACUAAGAGCAUCUGAUCAAUUACUAAAAUAUAAAAGCUGAAAAUUGGUUCCUGGGGGACUGUACUUGGAGAACAAGUUAAGGUAUUGU
ensembl:lncRNA